rnacentral:rRNA from 1 species
AUUGAACGCUGGCGGCAGGCCUAACACAUGCAAGUCGAGCGGUAGAGAGGUGCUUGCAUCUCUUGAGAGCGGCGGACGGGUGAGUAAUGCCUAGGAAUCUGCCUAGUGGUGGGGGAUAACGUUCGGAAACGGACGCUAAUACCGCAUACGUCCUACGGGAGAAAGCGGGGGGAUCUUCGGACCUCGCGCCAUUAGAUGAGCCUAGGUCGGAUUAGCUAGUUGGUGAGGUAAUGGCUCACCAAGGCGACGAUCCGUAACUGGUCUGAGAGGAUGAUCAGUCACACUGGAACUGAGACACGGUCCAGACUCCUACGGGAGGCAGCAGUGGGAAUAUUGGACAAUGGGCGAAAGCCUGAUCCAGCCAUGCCGCGUGUGUGAAGGAAGGUCUUCGGAUUGUAAAGCACUUUAAGUUGGGUAGGAAGGGUAGUAACCUAAUACGUUGCUACUUUGACGUUACCGACAGAAUAAGCACCGG